UCUCCUGGAAAACGGGUGGUAAUGCCGGAUGCUCCAUCACACCGCAUGGUGUGUUGGGAAAGCCUUUGCGGCAUGGGAUGGGGUCGCGUCCUAUCAGCUUGAUGGCGGGGUAACGGCCCACCAUGGCUUCGACGGGUAGCCGGCCUGAGAGGGCGACCGGCCACAUUGGGACUGAGAUACGGCCCAGACUCCUACGGGAGGCAGCAGUGGGGAAUAUUGCACAAUGGGCGCAAGCCUGAUGCAGCGACGCCGCGUGAGGGAUGGAGGCCUUCGGGUUGUAAACCUCUUUUGUUAGGGAGCAAGGCAUUUUGUGUUGAGUGUACCUUUCGAAUAAGCACCGGCUAACUACGUGCCAGCAGCCGCGGUAAUACGUAGGGUGCAAGCGUUAUCCGGAAUUAUUGGGCGUAAAGGGCUCGUAGGCGGUUCGUCGCGUCCGGUGUGAAAGUCCAUCGCUUAACGGUGGAUUCGCGCCGGGUACGGGCGGGCUUGAGUGCGGUAGGGGAGACUGGAAUUCCCGGUGUAACGGUGGAAUGUGUAGAUAUCGGAAAAGAACACCA
rnacentral:rRNA from 1 species